rnacentral:misc_RNA from 1 species
GAUGAAGAACGCAGCGAAAUGCGAUAAGUAAUGCGAAUUGCAGAAUUUCCGUGAGUCAUCGAAUCUUUGAACGCACAUUGCGCCCACUGGUAUUCCGGUGGGCAUGCCUGUUCGAGCGUCAUUACAACCCUCAAGCUCUGCUUGGUAUUGGGCUCUGCCGGUCCCGGCAGGCCUCAAAAUCAGUGGCGGCGCCAUUCGGCUUCAAGCGUAGUAAUUCUUCUCGCUUCGGAGGCCCGGGUGCGUGCUUGCCAGCAACCCCCAAUUUUUUUCAGGUUGACCUCGGAUCAGGUAGGGAUACCCGCUGAACUUAAGCAUAUCAAUAAGCGGAGGA